UACGUAGGGACCAAGCGUUGUUCGGAUUUACUGGGCGUAAAGGGCGCGUAGGCGGCAAUUCAAGUCAUCUGUGAAAUCUCCGGGCUUAACUCGGAACGGUCAGAUGAUACUGCUUUGCUAGAGUGCGGAAGGGGCAAUCGGAAUUCUUGGUGUAGCGGUGAAAUGCGCAGAUAUCAGGAGGAACACCAAUUGCGAAGGCAGCUCGCUGGGACGUUACUGACGCUGAGACGCGAAAGCGUGGGGAGCAAACAGG
rnacentral:rRNA from 1 species